GACGAACGCUGGCGGCGUGCCUAAUACAUGCAAGUAGAACGCUGAAGGAGGAGCUUGCUUCUCUGGAUGAGUUGCGAACGGGUGAGUAACGCGUAGGUAACCUGCCCGGUAGCGGGGGAUAACUAUUGGAAACGCUAGCUAAUACCGCAUAAUAGUAGAUGUUGCAUGACAUUUGCCUAAAAGGUGCAAUUGCAUCACUACCAGAUGGACCUGCGUUGUUUUAGCUAGUUGGUGGGAUAACGGCUGACCCAAGCGACGAUACAUAGCCGACCCGGGGAGGGGGUCGGCCACACUGGGACCGGGACACCGCCCCGACUCCUACCGGGGGCAGCAGGAGGGGAUCUUCGCCAAUGGGCCGAAGGCUGACCGGGCCACGCCGCGGUAGUGAAGAAGGUUUUCCGGUCGUUAAGCUCUGUUGUUUGGGAAGAACGAGUGUGGGAGUGAAAAGUUCACACUGUGACGGUAUCUUACCAGAAAGCGACGGCUAACUACGUG
rnacentral:rRNA from 1 species